rnacentral:sRNA from 4 species
ACAUCAAACUCAGAUGUUGAGCGUGAAGGAUAACGUUGCGUCAGCAACGGCCCGAAGGGCGAGGCGAAGCCGAGUCAUCCUGCACGACCCACCA